GGCGGCGUAGCUUAGUUGGCUAGAGCAUUCGGUUCAUACCCGAAGGGUCGUAGGUUCGAGUCCCACCGCCGCUACCA
rnacentral:tRNA from 1 species